CCUACGGGAGGCAGCAGUGGGGAAUAUUGCACAAUGGGCGGAAGCCUGAUGCAGCGACGCCGCGUGAGGGAUGACGGCCUUCGGGUUGUAAACCUCUUUCAGCACGGAAGAAGCGCAAGUGACUGUACGUGCAGAAGAAGCGCCGGCUAACUACAUGCCACCAGCCGCGGUAAUACGUAGGGCGCAAGCGUUGUCCGGAAUUAUUGGGCGUAAAGAGCUCGUAGGCGGUUUGUCGCGUCUGCUGUGAAAGCCCGGGGCUUAACCCCGGGUGUGCAGUGGGUACCGGCAGACUUGAUUGCAGUAGGGGAGACUGGAAUUCCUGGUGUAGCGGUGAAAUGCGCAGAUAUCAGGAGGAACGCCGAUGGCGAAGGCAGGUCUCUGGGCUGUUACUGACGCUGAUGAGCGAAAGCAUGGGGAGCGAACAGGAUUAGAUACCCUGGUAGUCCAUGCCGUACACGUUGGGCACUAGGUGUGGGGAACAUUCCACGUUUUCCGCGCCGUAGCUAACGCAUUAAGUGCCCCGCCUGGGGAGUACGGCCGCAAGGCUAAACUCAAAUGAAUUGACGGAAGCCG
rnacentral:rRNA from 1 species